rnacentral:rRNA from 1 species
AUGAGCUCGGCGGUGCACCAGCGGCAGCCGCACGCGGUGCUGAUCCCGCAGCCAGCGCAGGGCCACGUCACGCCGAUGCUGCACCUCGCCAAGGCACUGCACGCCCGGGGCUUCCGCGUCACCUUCGUCAACUCCGAGUACAACCGCCGCCGCCUGCUCCGGUCCCGCGGCCCCGGCUCGCUGGACGGCGCCGACGGCUUCCGCUUCGAGGCCGUCCCGGACGGCCUGCCGCCGUCCGACGACCACGGCGACGACGUCACGCAGGACAUCGCGGAGCUCUGCCUGUCGACCAUCAAGCACAGCGCCGCACCGUUCAGGGAGCUGCUUGUCAGGCUUAACAACAGCAGCACGCCGGUGAGCUGCGUCAUAGCCGACGGCGUCAUGAGCUUCGCUCAGAGGGUCGCCGAGGAGAUGGGCAUUCCGGCCUUGGUGUUCUGGACUACGAGCGCCUGUGGCUUCAUGGGUUACCUCCACUUCGCCGAGCUCGUCAGAAGAGGCUAUGUGCCACUCAAAGAUGAGAGUGACCUGACUAAUGGGUACCUGGACACUGUCAUCGACUGGAUCCCCGGAAUGGAUGGCAUCCGUCUGAAAGACAUGCCCAGCUUCAUCAGAACCACUGACCCGGACGACGUGAUGCUCAACUUCGACGGCGGCGAGGCGCAGAACACGCGCGGCGCCCGCGGGCUCAUCCUCAACACGUACGACGCGCUGGAGCAAGACGUCGUCGACGCGCUCCGCCGCACGUUCCCGCGCCUCUACACCGUCGGCCCGCUGCCCGCGUUCGCCAAAGCCGCCGCGGGAGGCGCCGAGGCCGAGCUCGACGCGAUCGGCGGGAACCUCUGGAAGGAAGACGCGAGCUGCCUCCGCUGGCUGGACGCCCAGAAGCAGCCCGGCUCGGUGGUGUACGUCAACUUCGGCAGCAUCACGGUGGUGACCGCGGCGCAGCUCGCGGAGUUCGCGUGGGGGCUGGCGGGCUGCGGCCGGCCGUUCCUGUGGGUCGUCCGGCCGGACCUCGUCGCCGGCGAGAAGGCCGUGCUGCCGGAGGAAUUCGUCCGGGACACCAAGGACAGGGGAGUCCUGGCGAGCUGGUGCCCGCAGGAGCGCGUCCUCUCGCACCCGUCGGUGGGGCUGUUCCUGACGCACUGCGGGUGGAACUCGACGCUGGAGAGCGUGUGCGCCGGCGUGCCGAUGGUCUGCUGGCCCUUCUUCGCUGAGCAGCCGACCAACUGCCGGUACGCGUGCGCCAAGUGGGGCAUCGGGAUGGAGAUCGGCGGCGACGUGGCGAGGGAGGAGGUGGCGCGGCUGGUGCGCGAGGCUAUGGACGGCGAGAGGGGCAAGGCGAUGAGAGCGAGCGCGGCGGCGUGGAAGGAGAGCGCCAGGGCGGCGACGGAGGCAGGUGGCUCGUCGAGCCAGAACAUGGAUCGGCUGGUCGAGUUCUUGCGUGCCGGGUGUGAUGGUGCUAUCUGA